GAUGAACGCUGGCGGCGUGCCUAAUACAUGCCAGUCGAGCGAACGGACGAGAAGCUUGCUUCUCUGAUGUUAGCGGCGGACGGGUGAGUCACACGUGGAUAACCUACCUGUAAGACUGGGAUAACUUCGGGAAACCGUAGCUAAUACCGGAUAAUAUUUUGAACCGCAUGGUUCAAAAGUGAAAGACGGUCUUGCUGUCACUUAUAGAUGGAUCCGCGCUGCAUUAGCUAGUUGGUAAGGUAACGGCUUACCAAGGCAACGAUGCAUAGCCGACCUGAGAGGGUGAUCGGCCACACUGGAACUGAGACACGGUCCAGACUCCUACGGGAGGCAGCAGUAGGGAAUCUUCCGCAAUGGGCGAAAGCCUGACGGAGCAACGCCGCGUGAGUGAUGAAGGUCUUCGGAUCGGAAAACUCUGUUAUUAGGGAAGAACAUAUGUGUAAGUAACUGUGCACAUCUUGACGGUACCUAAUCAGAAAGCCACGGCUAACUACGUG
rnacentral:rRNA from 1 species